AUUAAGUGCAGCCGUGGAAAUCCGUGUCCAACUUUUGACCGUUUGUCUUAUUUAAAAAAUUUAUGAAAAAUUUUAAAAAAUUUAGUCACACAUAAAGUACCAUUCAUAUUUUAUCAUAUAAUAACAAUAAAAAUAUUAAUCAUAAAAUUUUUUUAAAUAAGACGAACAGUCAAUCGUUGGAGAUGAAUAGUGUAAAACUACACUUAUU
rnacentral:pre_miRNA from 1 species